rnacentral:rRNA from 1 species
CCUACGGGAGGCAGCAGUGAGGAAUAUUGGUCAAUGGACGAGAGUCUGAACCAGCCAAGUAGCGUGAAGGAUGACUGCCCUAUGGGUUGUAAACUUCUUUUAUAUGGGAAUAAAAUGUUCCACGUGUGGGCUUUUGUAUGUACCAUAUGAAAAAGGAUCGGGUAACUCCGUGCCAGCAGCCGCGGUAAUACGGAGGAUCCGGACGUUAUCCGGAUUUAUUGGGUUUAAAGGGAGCGUAGGUGGAUUGUUAAGUCAGUUGUGAAAGUUUGCGGCUCAACCGUAAAAUUGCAGUUGAAACUGGCAGUCUUGAGUACAGUAGAGGUGGGCGGAAUUCGUGGUGUAGCGGUGAAAUGCUUAGAUAUCACGAAGAACUCCGAUUGCGAAGGCAGCUCACUGGACUGCAACUGACACUGAGGCUCGAAAGUGUGGGUAUCAAACAGGAUUAGAUACCCGAGUAGUC